GAUGAACGCUGGCGGCGCGCUUAACACAUGCAAGUCGAACGAAGCACCUUGAUUUGAUUCUUCGGAUGAAGAUCUUGGUGACUGAGUGGCGGACGGGUGAGUAACGCGUGGGUAACCUGCCUCAUACAGGGGGAUAACAGUUAGAAAUGACUGCUAAUACCGCAUAAGACCACAGCACCGCAUGGUGCAGGGGUAAAAACUCCGGUGGUAUGAGAUGGACCCGCGUCUGAUUAGGUAGUUGGUGGGGUAACGGCCUACCAAGCCGACGAUCAGUAGCCGACCUGAGAGGGUGACAGGCCACAGUGGGACUGAGACACGGCCCAAACUCCUACGGGAGACAGCAGUGGGGAAUAGUGCACAAUGGGGGAAACCCUGAUGCAGCGACGCCGCGUGAGCGAUGAAGUAUUUCGGUAUGUAAAGCUCUAUCAGCAGGGAAGAAAAUGACGGUACCUGACUAAGAAGCACCGGCUAAAUACGUGCCAGCCGCCGCGGUAAAAC
rnacentral:rRNA from 1 species